CGACUACGAGGUUUGAUCCUGGCUCAGGAUGAACGCUAGCGGCAGGCCUAAUACAUGCAAGUCGAACGGAUAUAUGUUUUUCGGAAUAUAUAUUAGUGGCGCACGGGUGAGUAACACGUACAUAACUUGCCCUCAAGCGGGGGAUAGCCUUGGGAAACUGAGAGUAAUACCCCAUAGAAUUAUUGGACGGCAUCGUUUGAUAAUUAAAACUACGGUGCUUGGGGAUAGAUGUGCGUCUGAUUAGCUAGUUGGUGAGGUAACUGCUCACCAAGGCGACGAUCAGUAGGGGGGCGUGAGAGCGUGGCCCCCCACACGGGUACUGAGACACGGACCCGACUCCUACGGGAGGCAGCAGUAAGGAAUAUUGGUCAAUGGAGGGAACUCUGAACCAGCCAUGCCGCGUGAAGGAUGACGGCCCUCUGGGUUGUAAACUUCUUUUGGAUGGGGCGAAAAAACGGGAUUUAUCCUGGACUGACGGUACCAUCAGAAUAAGCACCGGCUAACUCCGUG
rnacentral:rRNA from 1 species